rnacentral:rRNA from 1 species
AUAUCAUUAAGCGGAGGAAAAGAAACUAACUAUGAUUCCCCUAGUAACGGCGAGUGAACCGGGAAUAGCCCAACUUGAAAAUCUCCCUUUGGAGAAUUGUAGUCUAUAGAAGCAUCCUCUGUGGCGGCACAGUCCCAAGUCCGGUGGAAGCCGGCGUCGAAGAGGGUGAAAACCCCGUCGGAUCUGUGCUUAGCCGCUCCACGAGGUGCUUUCCACGAGUCGGGUUGCUUGGGAAUGCAGCCCAAAUCGGGAGGUAAAUCCCUUCUAAGGCUGAAUACUGGCGAGAGACCGAUAGCGCACAAGUA